GUUUCUUUCUGUCUCUUAAGUGAUGUGUGAGUGGAUGGACAGAUUGCCCUCAGCUUUAAGGGCAGUUCAGGAUGAUCUGUCUUAAGAUCGAUGCUCUGUGGAAUGAGAAAAAUGCGCUCUGCAGGGCAUGCCCACUGCAUGUGCUGGGAGGCUCUCCUACAUCCAAUGGGCAGAUGCGCAGUCUCCACGGAGGCCUCAGGCCUCGGUGUGAGCCAGGGCUGCUUCAAACAUGUCGGCUAUCUAAACAAAGGCUCAGCAAAAGAAAUCCAAGAGGACAAACACACAGGAAAACUUGAAAAACCAAGACCAUCUGUUUCACACGGAAGAGCACAAUUACUUCGGUGAGGAAACCGAGGCACGCACAAGUUAAAUGACUA
rnacentral:lncRNA from 1 species